UUUUCAGUCACACUGUGGCAAGAAAGGAGAUCCAUGAAGUGAACAUUGACAGCAUAUCUCAGCCUGAGUCCAGUAAAGAUGUGGCUGGAGGAGUGGUGGUGGCCACUGGAAGGCAACUUUAAUACUGGAGCAAAUAUUGACCCCCUGGUCUAUGAUUAGUAGAUGUGGGUGAGUGGACAUACAGAUCUGGG